CCGCGCUGCAUUAGCUAGUUGGUAAGGUUAACGGCUUACCAAGGCAACGAUGCAUAGCCGACCUGAGGAGGUGAUCGGCCACACUGGAACUGAGACACGGUCCAGACUCCUACGGGAGGCAGCAUAGGGAAUCUUCCGCAAUGGGCGAAAGCCUGACGGAGCAACGCCGCGUGAGUGAUGAAGGUCUUCGGAUCGUAAAACUCUGUUAUUAGGGGAAGAACAUAUGUGUAAGUAACUGUGCACAUCUUGACGGUACCUAAUCAGAAAGCCACGGCUAACUACGUGCCAGCAGCCGCGGUAAUACGUAGGUGGCAAGCGUUAACCGGAAUUAUUGGGCGUAAAGCGCGCGUAGACGGUUUUUUAAGUCUGAUGUGAAAGCCCACGGCUCAACCGUGGAGGGUCAUUGGAAACUGGAAAACUUGAGUGCAGAAGAGGAAAGUGGAAUUCCAUGUGUAGCGGUGAAAUGCGCAGAGAUAUGGAGGAACACCAGUGGCGAAGGCGACUUUCUGGUCUGUAACUGACGCUGAUGUGCGAAAGCGUGGGGAUCAAACAGGAUUAGAUACCCUGGUAGUCCACGCCGUAAACGAUGAGUGCUAAGUGUUAGGGGGUUUCCGCCCCUUAGUGCUGCAGCUAACGCAUUAAGCAU
rnacentral:rRNA from 1 species